rnacentral:rRNA from 1 species
AGCAGCCGCGGUAAUUCCAGCUCCAAUAGCGUAUAUUAAAGUUGUUGCAGUUAAAAAGCUCGUAGUUGAAUUUCGGGAUCAAUACGUCGGUCGUGCUUCGGUACGUACUGGCGUCAUUGGUUUCUCCCUUCUGACGAACCAUGAUGUCAUUAAUUUGGUGUUAUAGGAAAUCAGGACUGUUACUUUGAAAAAAUUAGAGUGUUUAAAGCAGGCUCACGCUUGAAUACAUUAGCAUGGAAUAAUGAAAUAGGACGUUCGAUCCUAUUUUGUUGGUUUUAGGAUCAACGUAAUGAUUAAUAGGGAUAGUUGGGGGCAUUAGUAUUCAAUUGUCAGAGGUGAAAUUCUUGGAUUUAUUGAAGACUAACUACUGCGAAAGCAUUUGCCAAGGAUGUUUUCAUUAAUCAAGAACGAAAGUUAGGGGAUCGAAGACGAUCAGAUACCGUCGUAGUCUUAACCAUAAACUAUGCCGACUAGGGAUCGGAUGAUGUUAAUUUUUUAAUGACUCAUUCGGCGCCUUACG